rnacentral:rRNA from 1 species
ACUCCUACGGGAGGCAGCAGUGGGGAAUCUUCCGCAAUGGACGAAAGUCUGACGGAGCAACGCCGCGUGAGUGAUGACGGCCUUCGGGUUGUAAAGCUCUGUUAAUCGGGACGAAAGGUCCUCUUGCGAAUAGUUAGAGGAAUUGACGGUACCGGAAUAGAAAGCCACGGCUAACUACGUGCCAGCAGCCGCGGUAAUACGUAGGUGGCAAGCGUUGUCCGGAAUUAUUGGGCGUAAAGCGCGCGCAGGCGGAUCAGUCAGUCUGUCUUAAAAGUUCGGGGCUUAACCCCGUGAUGGGAUGGAAACUGCUGAUCUAGAGUAUCGGAGAGGAAAGUGGAAUUCCUAGUGUAGCGGUGAAAUGCGUAGAUAUUAGGAAGAACACCAGUGGCGAAGGCGACUUUCUGGACGAAAACUGACGCUGAGGCGCGAAAGCCAGGGGAGCGAACGGGAUUAGAAACCCCGGUAGUCCAGAAGUG